rnacentral:rRNA from 1 species
AUGCAGAUCGACGGAAGGCCUCUUCGGAGGUACUCGAGUGGCGAACGGGUGAGUAACACUGUGGGCAAUCUGCCCUGCACUUCGGGAUAAGCCUGGGAAACUGGGUCUAAUACCGAAUAGGACCUUUAGACGCAUGUCUUUUGGUGGAAAGCUUUUGCGGUGUGGGAUGGGCCCGCGGCCUAUCAGCUUGUUGGUGGGGUGAUGGCCUACCAAGGCGACGACGGGUAGCCGGCCUGAGAGGGUGUCCGGCCACACUGGGACUGAGAUACGGCCCAGACUCCUACGGGAGGCAGCAGUGGGGAAUAUUGCACAAUGGGCGCAAGCCUGAUGCAGCGACGCCGCGUGGGGGAUGACGGCCUUCGGGUUGUAAACCUCUUUCACCAUCGACGAAGGUCCGGGUUUUCUCGGAUUGACGGUAGGUGGAGAAGAGAGCACGCGGCCAACUACGUGCCAGCAGCCGCGGUAAUACGUAUGGUGCGAGCGUUGUCCGGAAUUACUGGGCGUAAAGAGCUCGUAGGUGGUUUGUCGCGUUGUUCGUGAAAUCUCACGGCUUAACUGUGAGCGUGCGGGCGAUACGGGCAGACUAGAGUACUGCAGGGGAGACUGGAAUUCCUGGUGUAGCGGUGGAAUGCGCAGAUAUCAGGAGGAACACCGGUGGCGAAGGCGGGUCUCUGGGCAGUAACUGACGCUGAGGAGCGAAAGCGUG